UACGUAGGGGCCGAGCGUUGUCCGGAGUUAUUGGGCGUAAAGCGCGCGCAGGUGGUUUCUUAAGUCUGAUGUGAAAGCCCACGGCUCAACCGUGGAGGGUCAUUGGAAACUGGGAGACUUGAGUGCAGAAGAGGAAAGUGGAAUUCCUAGUGUAGCGGUGAAAUGCGCAGAUAUUAGGAGGAACACCGGUGGCGAAGGCGCCGCUCUGGGCCGAAACUGACGCUGAGGAGCGAAAGCAUGGGUAGCAAACAGG
rnacentral:rRNA from 1 species